rnacentral:lncRNA from 1 species
AUGGCCAAAAUUGUCAGUUGACCCAUUAAGGAGUUAUUGCCCUUUAUAGUCAAUUUUUAACCAUUUUUCUAAAAUUUUAGUAUUCUUUUAAAAAAUCUUCUCCUCUGAAACUACUGCGCCAAAUUUAACCAAACUUGGCCACAGUCAUCAUUUGGGUAUCUAGUUUUAAAAAUGUGUGGCCUGACCCUGCCAACCAACCAAGAUGGCCGCCAUGGCUAAAAAUAGUACAUAGGGGCGAAAUGUAGAUUUUGGUUUAUAUCUCUGAAACCAAAGCAUUUAGAGCAAAUCUG